rnacentral:miRNA from 17 species
AACAAUAUCCUGCUGCUGUCUGAGU